rnacentral:rRNA from 1 species
UGGGGAAUAUUGCACAAUGGGCGGAAGCCUGAUGCAGCGACGCCGCGUGGGGGAUGAAGGCCUUCGGGUUGUAAACUCCUUUCGACAGGGACGAAGCUUUUGUGACGGUACCUGUAUAAGAAGCACCGGCUAACUACGUGCCAGCAGCCGCGGUAAUACGUAGGGUGCGAGCGUUGUCCGGAAUUACUGGGCGUAAAGAGUUCGUAGGUGGUUUGUCGCGUCGUCUGUGAAAUUCCGGGGCUUAACUCCGGGCGUGCAGGCGAUACGGGCUGACUUGAGUGCUGUAGGGGAGACUGGAAUUCCGGGUGUAGCGGUGAAAUGCGCAGAUAUCAGGAGGAACACCGAUGGCGAAGGCAGGUCUCUGGGCAGUAACUGACGCUGAGGAGCGAAAGCAUGGGUAGCGAACAGG